rnacentral:tRNA from 1 species
GGACGUAUAGCUCAGUGGUAGAGCAAUUGACUGCAGAUCAAUAGGUCCCUGGUUCAAAUCCGGGUGCGUCCU